rnacentral:rRNA from 1 species
AUGAACGCUGGCGGCGUGCUUAACACAUGCAAGUCGAACGGAAAGGCCAGUGCUUGCACUGGUACUCGAGUGGCGAACGGGUGAGUAACACGUGGGUGAUCUGCCCUGUACUUCGGGAUAAGCUUGGGAAACUGGGUCUAAUACCGGAUAGGACAACUUUUUGGAUAUUGUUGUGGAAAGCUUUUGCGGUAUGGGAUGAGCUCGCGGCCUAUCAGCUUGUUGGUGGGGUAAUGGCCUACCAAGGCGUCGACGGGUAGCCGGCCUGAGAGGGUGUACGGCCACAUUGGGACUGAGAUACGGCCCAGACUCCUACGGGAGGCAGCAGUGGGGAAUAUUGCACAAUGGGCGCAAGCCUGAUGCAGCGACGCCGCGUGGGGGAUGAAGGCCUUCGGGUUGUAAACUCCUUUCGCUAGGGACGAAGCGCAAGUGACGGUACCUGGAGAAGAAGCACCGGCUAACUACGUG